rnacentral:rRNA from 1 species
CCUACGGGAGGCAGCAGUGAGGAAUAUUGGUCAAUGGGCGCGAGCCUGAACCAGCCAAGUAGCGUGAAGGAUGACUGCCCUACGGGUUGUAAACUUCUUUUAUAAGGGAAUAAAGUGAGGCACGUGUGCCUUUUUGUAUGUACUUUAUGAAUAAGGAUCGGCUAACUCCGUGCCAGCAGCCGCGGUAAUACGGAGGAUCCGAGCGUUAUCCGGAUUUAUUGGGUUUAAAGGGAGCGUAGAUGGGUAGUUAAGUCAGUGGUGAAAGUUUGUGGCUCAACCGUAAAAUUGCAAUUGAUACUGGCAGCCUUGAGUACAUUUGAGGUAGGCGGAAUUCGUGGUGUAGCGGUGAAAUGCUUAGAUAUCACGCAGAACUCCGAUUGCGAAGGCAGCUUACUAAACUGCCACUGACAUUGAUGCUCGAAAGUGUGGGUAUCAAACAGGAUUAGAUACCCGAGUAGUC